UGAAAAGUGAAAACCUACAAGCCUCCAUGUUGAGUCCAACUUUCCUAUCGAACUGCCCAUCUCCAACCAAGACCACCAAUAGUAUUAGAUUGAAGUAAAUGGGGAUAAUGCUGCUCCAUUUUACAAGUGCUUGAAGCUGGGAAAAUGGGAAAUUUUUUAUUCUUAGAAACAUCUCUUCCUGUGGAUUCAUGUUGAUAUGUAAUUCUAACAAGCCUCUUCUAGUUUUGUUGAUUAUUUGACUCGGAUUGGAAUCGAUUAUUGUUCUCUUUUUUGUUUGAUUAUUCGGCUAAUCCUUUAAUUUUGUUUGGAGAUUUUUGUGUUUUUGAUGUUUUGACCGAUUGCUUUGGUGUAAGGGUUUGUACUGUUGAAUUUUCGUUAAUUUGAGACAAUAUUAAGAAAUAUAUUAUAGAAAAAAAUUGAUUUGAUUUGCUGCUGUAUGAUUUAAUAUUGACGUGCUAUGAUUGUUUGUUUAUCGGAGAUGUUCAAGCGAAUAAAUAAAAAUUUAAUCCGUGUUUGUUGUUGUUAAAUAGGUGUCAUUCUAUUCUCCAUCUCAAAAAUAAAAAUAAUGAGACCAAAUAAAUGAAAAGAUGAAAUAUUUAUGGCAAUAUGUUAAAUCGUUUCCAUUUAACUUGAAACUUCUUAGUUUAUCAAUUACAUUUUUUGUCACUUUCUUCACUUGGACUUGGUGCUACCGUGCCACAACCAUUGAUCCUUAAUGAUAUGUAAUGAUACCUUUUGAGUCCUGGUACAUUUUCCUACUCAUUCUAAGGCAAAAUUAAGUGGGUUAUAAAGUUGGUGGUGAUAUUUUAAUGUUAUGGUUUUGGGGAUAUGGUUGAAUAUAUUCCAUGUUAGGCUAUUUUAAUUGAUGUAGGUAAGAGUGUUGGGUGAGACGAAAUUCAAUGGAACUUUGCUAAGUUUUUGGUUGAUAAGAAUGGACAGGUUGUUGAUCGUUGUUAUUCCACCACGUCCCCUCUCACCAUUUAGGUUCAGGUACAAGACACUUAAAAAUCUAAUGAUUGUAUUUGCCUUUUUCAUCUUUUUAAUAUGUCAUCUUGCUUCCAUAAGAUGUUUUUAGAAUUUGUUUAUAUUACAGAGUCAAAUGCUUUUUCCAAUCCUCGUGUAUUAUAUAUCUAUCCCUUGUGAUCUUAUUGCAGAGAGAUGUGAAGAAGCUUUUGGAGCUAUCUUGAAUGCUAUGAUAUUAAGGAAUUAGGGAUGGUGUUGAAAUCGUGGAGCUUUUGAUUCUAUCUUGCAUUAGAUAUGAGUGUGCGUCUCUUGUUCCCUUUUACUUUUCUUUCUAGAAAUGGCAGGUAGGCAGUGUUUUCAUUUUAUGUUACCCUAUAUAUCUUGAUAAAAUUCUUAUCCACUUUGUUUGUGCAGGAUUUAAUCAUGUUGCUAGUUAAGGUGAUACCAAUUUUGGAUGCUCAAAUGGAAGAGAAAAAAACAACCUAAAGAAAGGUCAGAAAUAUGGAAUCAUUUCACUAAGAUACUUGGUGGAGAAAGAGCAAAAUAUAAUUAUUGUGGGAGAACAUUUAAAGCUAUUUCUACUUCUGGAACUUUUACCAUGUGGAAGCAUUUAAAAGCUUGUUACGCUUAUAAGAACACUAUGGUUGAGGAUAAACAAGCAAUACUAACUCGAGAUAACAAUGAUGGUGGUAUAAUGGCUAUGGUGUUUGAUAAAGAAAAGUGUAGAAAAGCAUUGGUUAAGAUGAUUAUUAUUGAUGAAUUGCCUUUUUCCUUUGUGGAAGGUGUGGGUUUUAAGGAAUUUGUGCGGCAACUUUGUCCUAGAUUUGAGGUUCCUUCUCAAAGAACAAUUACUAGAGAUGUUCUCCUUCUCUACCAUGAAACAAAGAAAUCAUUGAUGAUUAAUUUUAUUAAUGAUAGGCAAAUGAUUUCUUUAGCCACCAAUUGUUGGACAUCAAUUAUAUGGUAGUUAUAGCACACUUUAUUGACAGAGGUUGGAAACUGCAUAAAAGGAUAUUGAGUUUUUCAGUAGUUCCAAAUCAUAAAGGGGAGACAAUUGGGAAGUUUAUUGAAAAGUGUUUGCUUGAUUGGGGUAUAGAGUGUGUGGGUACAAUUACUGUAGACAUGCAAACACAAAUGAUGCAACGAUUAUUUAUGUGAAAAACAAGUUGAAAAAUUGGAAACAUGAUGAUACUAUGAUUUUAAUUAGCUCUUAUCUGCAUGUACGUUGUUCAGCACUUAUGCGAACCCGAUUAGCAAGGUUGCAAUCGAACCCACAAGAUAUUGAAUCGAAUUCCAAGAGCGCCAAUAUGAUUAAGGUUUAUGAAUCUGACCCCAAAAUAGUGAACUAAGCAACCCAACAAGAACGGCGCUAUAGAGGACUUCUUGAUUACACGAUUGUAGAAAUCAAAAUCCGGAAUUGUAAGUUCGGCCCAAUAAAUUAUCGAACUAGAAAUCAAGGCAAUUACAUGAAUAUCUUGACCCCGUGAUUACCCAAUUUAUGAAAUAUCCAUUGAUUUGUGAACGCCACAAUAAAUUACUUUUUAGAAAAGUUCGAAUCGUCCAUUUAAGAACAAAGUUUAAAGCAAAGUUUCACGAG
rnacentral:lncRNA from 1 species